CCUACGGGGGGCUGCAGUGGGGAAUAUUGCACAAUGGGCGCAAGCCUGAUGCAGCCAUGCCGCGUGUGUGAAGAAGGCCUUCGGGUUGUAAAGCACUUUCAGCGGGGAGGAAGGCGUUAAGGUUAAUAACCUUGUCGAUUGACGUUACCCGCAGAAGAAGCACCGGCUAACUCCGUGCCAGCAGCCGCGGUAAUACGGAGGGUGCAAGCGUUAAUCGGAAUUACUGGGCGUAAAGCGCACGCAGGCGGUCUGUCAAGUCGGAUGUGAAAUCCCCGGGCUCAACCUGGGAACUGCAUUCGAAACUGGCAGGCUAGAGUCUUGUAGAGGGGGGUAGGAUUCCAGGUGUAGCGGUGAAAUGCGUAGAGAUCUGGAGGAAUACCGGUGGCGAAGGCGGCCCCCUGGACAAAGACUGACGCUCAGGUGCGAAAGCGUGGGGAGCAAACAGGAUUAGAUACCCUAGUAGUC
rnacentral:rRNA from 1 species